AACACAUUCUAACGUUGCUCUCCGCGUCGCUGUUCUCGGUUUCCCAUAAGCGAGCGACGUUGAUGUGGAGGCUACAGCCAGGUCCAGGCUGACGACUGGAACGAACACCAAAGCCAAUAGUAAUUCAAUGGCUAACGCUGUGAGCUCUUGAACUUUACUGCUGAUUGAUUUAUCUGGCACCAUUAGGACAGGCGACCUGCGCUGUCGUCCAAAAGCACCCUCGUGAUUUUUCCAUAUCUGGGCCAAAUGGCUAUGACAACGGUUUUAUUUUCGAGACCAAUCGUUGAAGAAGUUUUACUAAGGAAGCAUAAAUUGUGUCGGAGAACAAGCAAACAGAACGAGUCGAUAUUUUCGAAAUAGGUUUAAUACACACUAAAGAUGGACUUCCACACGGUUACUGUGCAGCAGGAAAGCUACGAGCUCUAUGUGACGAAGGAAGCUUAAAAGGUCUAUAAAUAUGUUUUUACUACUGCAAAAAAAUGACCUAAAUAGAAGAUAAACAUAGUGAAAAUGCAGCGGAAACUCGAUUAUAGUAUAACGAAAAUACAACGGUUCACCAAUGUCACCGCGUUAGAUAAAGACGAUCAGCUUUUUUGGUUACCCAACAGCUGCAGUUUACUACAUCAUAGACGGAAGAACGGUUCAACAGUAACGGAAUGUACAUAAAUUGCAAAGCUAAUGAUUCAUGAAAGAGGAAAGAUAGUAAAAACUCGAAAACGUAUAGAGGAGAUUCGACGGACGUUUUUGGCGGCUAGAUUUGGCAUGGCUUGACGAAACACCGCUCACGAAGGCCGCAGGUACGUGUCGAAAACAGCGGACCGUUUUCGAUUCUAACGGAAAAGGAUCUGCUAGAAAAGCUACGAUUAAUCGAAGGAGAGACCUAGAGGAUAUCUAAACACGCGAGUAUAACCGACCGUUUUACUAGUAUUCACGUUCCAUACGUAGUUUCCAAUGGUGGCUUUGCCGCAUCGUCUUCAACAAACAUACACGUUUCAACAAGAUAGUACUUUGUUCCAUAUUUUCCGAAUACUGGAGGGGUGGCCAGUUGAACAUAUCGGAAUGGAAACUGUUGGCCAUCUGACAACCCAUAUUUAGCUCAGUUGAAUUAAUACAUGUAGAGCAUAUUAUCUAUAAUACAUGUAGCAUAUAUGAAAUGACAACAAUCACUCGCUCAGUGUUGCCAUGUAUCCGUACAAAAAGGUUUUAUUACUGGACUGCAAGCUGUUUAGUAUCCGAAUUCAAGCCAUGAUCUGACUAAGUAGUAGCUACGUUAAGUUAAGACAUCUGCAAAUUAUACCCCUUUCGUUUAAUGUAAAAACGUUGCGCAAGCAUGUGUUCUCAUCUGGACAAACUUAAGUCAUAUUCAUAAAAUUUUGCUUACGUUUAAAUAGGACUGCAUUUUCUUAUAUUUUUAUAGCAAAAAAUAGAAAGAAAACUACAAUGGGUGGCCAUAUCUUGUCUGUAUUCAAUGCUUUCGUCUAGAUGCUGUUAUACAUUGCUUAGUUAGUUUUCGUAUUUUGGUACAUUUCCAUCUCGAUUUUGUCAAGACCUUUUGUUAAGCGCCUGUACUUAUCAGACCUUUCAUAGACACUGAAAAUAUAUUCAAUGAAUACGAAUGCGUUUUAAGUCACGAUCGUUCAGCAACUGAGGAAAGAGUUUGUAAGUAUGCCCUAUUAGUUUAUAGGGGCACUGCGGCCGAUGCUAUACAAGUCAAUGUACAGUUGCAUGAAAAUACUGACGCUAACAUAUAGACGUAUUUCAAUUCAAGAGUUUUAUCCAGGAUCGUCCUAGGACGUGAAAACAUAUAGAUACUUUUUCUGAACCGUCCAUAGGGGUAUACCACAUGUUCGAGCCGCUUGGCCGACAGGCAGCCAACAGUGCUAUGACAGGGAAUGACAUGCUGUUUAGUUUGGAUGAAUAAAUUUUGCUCGGAUAUGGAUUUUACCAUUGCAGCGGAGGAAAACCUUGACGGAUUUUGGCAGACCUUUGCCUCUUCUUCUUUGUCUGAGGUCUUUACUGCCAAAACUCCUUCAAACGGAAAACGGCUGUAAUUGAGUUUGCGUGUUUGCCUCAGGUGAGCUCGUCCCUGAAGCGCACUAUUGCUGCUGGCCGACAUUGCUCCGAGAAGCUCUUCGAUUUCUUGCGCGAUGCGCUUCUCCUCUGUGCCGGAGCGCACACAGACAUCCUAUCGUCGUCUGCUAACUCCUCCCAUUGCCAGCCUGUUUGCUGGCUUAUCUCUGUUCGAGUGGAUGAGUAACCCUGCCCUUCCGUCCCAUAUCACUCAUAUAAACCUCCUCUCGAGACCCACCUACAGCUAAAACCGAGAAUACGCGAAUACGAUUCUGUUCGAUUCUCGCUUGUUCCUGCUUCAUCCACUGGCCCGUUGAAGCUAUGUCGCAAAUUACGUACCCCUCAAAAAACUCGCUGCGGGCUGUAAGACAACUUUAUCAAAAAAGCCUGUAAUUAUCUGUCUAUAUUAAAUUGCCUUUUAGAAAGCGUUACUUAAUAGAUACCUUAGAUCGCACUAGGUGUAAAAUCAUCUUGAUAUUCUUCGUUCCUACCGCAAUAAUCUUUUUCAAGCAGCGUCUGCUUUUACAAACGAAGUGCCUCAAACAUUACGAAGAUCUAGGAUAGCUUUAGCGUUCCCCAUACCUUAGCUAGGCUUGUGCCUAGAUUAGAAAUUCUAGGAUGUGCGUGCCUGACAAAUCACGUUUGGUCACCUCAUUUAUUCCGUGUAUUAAUUGCUCUUUGUCGCUAAAUGUAAACACUGGCUUUUGCUUACGGUGGUAAGCAUUCACUCAGAGCAGUUUUCGAUUCGACGAUCGUUGGCCAACGCACUUAGACGCAAAAAAAAUACGUACAAUCACGUUAUGGGAUUCAGGCGUUCGGAUGUGCUUAGAUCUGCUAACCCACUCACAAUCUCGGUAGUAAAACGUUCGUCAUGUCUGCUAGCGCUUUCAUUGCGACCUGCAAAACAUUAUACUCACGAACCACGUAUCAUUACUUAUUCUGUAUGAUGUACGAGCGAAAGGCUCUAAUAGUUAUUGAAUAAUUGUUAUUCUAUUUUUCUAUUGCAGUAUCAGCAGGAUCUCUGGAACUUAAAAACUUCCCACCUUUAAUUUUUUUUAGUAACAUUUUGGCUAUAUUAAUCAUUUAAUAUGAAGCACGACAACCGAUAAUACUAACAAAUCCCCUGUCAAAAGACCAAUUUAAAUCGUAGAGUAACUAACUCCAAGACUAACUUAGAUUAUAAUUACUCUUAGGAUGAGAUUGUUUGGCAUUAUCAUGGUGCUUAUACUAAAGGUGUGUUUAUAGAUCUUCACCAGCAGAGGUCCGUUCGUAUGUUAAGUUGCACGGACAACCCCUGCAAGGUCCUAUAUUAGGUUUAACCUUUAAAUCAGUAAAAGAUACAGAGAGAGGAGGCGAUAUACAUGCUUUGCGAAUUCUACUGAGUUUGACGUCAGAUACCACCAUACAAUCCCAGCUCCGCAGUCCCCGUUUCAGGCCUUCGGUCGCCGACGCAGGUGCUUCGUACCUCAUUUCAUCUGUUGGCCCAGUGAGAGAUCGGCUACCGACCAACUGUAUCCCACUGCAUCGCACAGCACAGCCAAUAUUCGUGCUGGUACCGCCUGCUCCUACUGCCAGGCUUAUUCGGGCCACUUAUUAGCGGAUGAGCACUAACGGAGCUGUGUCUGUUCGCAGCGUCAAAGACCGUCGUUGGAUUGAACCUACUGGUAGAAUCGCAUCGCUCUCUUCUUCUUCUUCUUCUUCUCUUGAUGGCGCAGAUCUCGCUGGGAUUUCGUUAGUGGACGUGGAUUACGUUAGAAGAGAGCCUGAAGCUUGUGACGCGGUGAAACUAAAAAUAAAGCCGGGAACGAGGCCGAAAUACCCUAGGUCUCACGUCUCAUGGGGCCGUUUCCUGUCGACGUCAAUGGCAAGAAAGAGAUAUAGCGGCGACAGCAGCUCUAGGGGUCUAGCACAGUAACAGCGACACCGGCGGCUAUACAACUAGUAAGACUCAUCCGUAUCGACGUGGGUCGGCUAUAAUAGAGGUCGCAUGUCUCGUUAUAAUGAAGUCAAGCCACAUAUAAUAUAUACACAUCUACCAGGAGUGUUAGUGGUUGUUCUCCCGGUUUUUUUUUUCUUUGUUUUGUCCAGCUUGUAAAUACGCUUGAAGAAGUAAUCGUAUUGAUUGUUACUGCCAUUGAGUAUGUUAGAGAUACGCUGCGAGAUAGCUCGAGCUAUUGUGAAAUAGGGAAUUUAUUGUAUAUCAAUUUAUAUGUGUAGUAACUGCGGCUAUGCCUGUUGGGCUAGCGAUUCAAACUAUCUGUUUGUGAACGAUGUACUUCAUGCUAUACUACAGUUAUACUAUGUGUCACUGUAACAUAAACGAAGUGGCACACUUCUUCGCAGUAACAAAACAGCUCCAAUCCUAUGUCAGUUAGAUCGUAAGUUACUCUGAAAGGGCUCUUUUAAGCGGUCUUAAGCGACAGUGUUUUUUUGUCAAUAGUAUUAAUUAAGCUAAUCGAGAUACGAUAAAAUAAGCCUUAUUGGUUUAAAUAGUUUUCUAUGACGCGUAAUUGUUUAAACAUCGUUUUUAUUUCUAUCAGAUAUUGGCAAAAAGCUAAUUUGGCUAAAACUAAUUUUUGAGAUAGGCCUUCCUGAAACCAAAAAAUAAAUAAAGCGUUCAUAGCAUUUAGGAAACGUUGGUAGUAUUCGCAAAUGCUUUAUUUGGCUCAAAAAAAAAAA
rnacentral:lncRNA from 1 species